rnacentral:tRNA from 1 species
GUUCCUGUAGUUAAAGUCUUAUAACGAUGGUUUUUCAGGCCGUAGGUCUUGGGGAGGAUCCAAGCAGGAACU